UGGAGAUGUCUGUGACUGAGUGACGAUGCACUCACUUCUUCAUCCCCAGGAAAGAUGGAACUCAAAUCUUGACAUAGUCACGGAAUUUGAUAAUGACAGACUACCUGGCAUGGGCCAUCAGGUGGCCAUACAACCAGAGGUGCCUGCGAUUGUUUUUGAAAAAUGCCUCAGGUGUGAAGUGGUUUGCACAGAACCAAUUCUGAGUGAGAUCAAACAGAGACAGCAGAGAAAAGAACUUGGAAGGGAGCUGCCUCUCAGCUACCCCGGUUUGGCUUUCAAGGGUACAGGAAGCAGGCAAAAGACCACUGAUACGAGGAACUGACAAACCAGGAGGCUCGCCAGCCUGCUUACUAACAUCCAGAUGCUCGACUCCACGGCCUCUGGUAGUUUCUGCAGUGCUUUGAUUGGCUUCACUCUGGGGAAAGUUUCUGCCUCCAGGCUCCUGCCCUGAGUUCCUGCCCUGGUUGCCUUGACGACAGAUUGUAACCUACAAGCUGAAUAAAUCCUUUCAUCCUGACCAAGUUGCUCUUGGUCAGUGUUUUACCACCGCAACAUCAAGCAAACUAGGACACCAUAAGGAAGCUUUUCUCCUCUGUUGUGAUGCUGUAUUUCAAGAAUACUGCCUCAGUAGAUUGGUGUGUUUCUUUAACAGUCAAUGCAUCGCCUUCCACUUCCAGCUUGGAGUCUCCUUUUACAUUGAAGCCCUCCUAAAUAAUUUACAUCCUUGUGGCUCCUCCUGUUCUGUGAGUCUAAGAGAAAGUUUCAUCUCUACGUCGUUUGCUGUAUUAAAAAUAUUGAUUUGCAAGCCA